ensembl:lncRNA
GGUCUCUACAUGGUGGGGACUCAUGAGCGUGCACACACACACACACACACACACACACACAUCUCCCUAAAGGGAAAUGUUGCUCUUUGCCAGUACAAAUGUUUACAGUCAAACAAGAAUCUUACUCCCAUUCACUACCAACUUGCCAGCCUCCCUUUCCCACAUUCUGGCCUAAUAGGACACUUCUGUUCAGCACAGAUCCUGUUUGACUACACAGAGACUAUAAUGUCACUGCUCGAAGAAACUUUGGAUUCUGGAAAAACUCUCAAAUUAGAAAUAGGGAAACUAAGGUCCCCUAGGUGACAAAGGCUACACAAGUGGGUAGUAAGCCUGGAGAAAAAAACUAGUCUCUGGAUCCAUUCCAAAAGACGUGACUUUACAAACUAGCAGUCUGGUUUCUAACCUCACAUCACCGACUCAGCCUCUGGCCAGGAAGGGAAGGCUGGGUAAAAUGUAAUGAUUUAAUUAAUUGUUAGUUUCAUUAACAGAUUUUUGUGAAGCAAAGUAAAAGUACAUGUAAGGCAUUCUUUGGCCACACCCACAGCAUGUAUAAGGUCCCGAGUCAGGAACUGAACCCAAGCCACAGCAAUGACCAACACCAAAUUCUUAACUGCUAUGCCCCCAGGAAACUCUUACAGAGGAUUUUUUUUUUUUUUUUUUUCUUUUUUUAGGACCAAACCCUUGGCAUAUGGAAGUUCCCAGACUAGGGGUCAAAUCAGAGCUACAACUGUCAGCGUACACCACAGCUCACGGUAACACCAGAUCCCUGACCUACUGAAUAAGGCCAAGGAUCGAACCCACAUCUUCAUGAAUACUACUCAGAUUCAUUUCCACAGAUCCACAACAAGAACUCCCCCAUAAGGCACUUUUUAAAAAGACAUACUAUAUAAAUAUUGAAUAAGAGAUCUAGCCUUAAUUUUGACCAUAGAUAGUAAGAGAUACUUGUAAUUCAAUUCAAAACCUCUCGAGUCUAGAUUUGUCUUGGCCAUUCAGAAACAUUCACAUAGUAACAUGACAGCAACAGAAAUAAAUUUCAAUAUAAGAAGUUGGGGGAUACCAUAAUAACUUACAGAAAAGCAAUAACUUUUUCCAACAUCGUAAUUAUAUCCAGCAAAGCAUGUUAACAAUAAUUAAGUAAACACCAAGUCUAUUCCAUUAAGGAAAGCAAACGUUUGAAAAAGCUUAUGUGCAUUAGAAAUUGUCUGUAUCAAUUGCAAAUACACUGAUUACUGGUUUAAGAAUCUGUGUCCCGGGAGUUCCCGUGGUGGCGCAGUGGUUACCGAAUCCGACUAGGAACCAUGAUGUUGCGGGUUGGGUUCGGUCCCUGCCCUUGCUCAGUGGGUUAACAAUCCGGCAUUGCCGUGAGCUGUGGUGUAGGUUGCAGACGCGGCCCAGAUCCUGCGUUGCUGUGGCUCUGGCGUAGGCCGGAGGAGGGGCCCUAGAAAUGGCAAAAAGACAAAAAAAAAAAAAAAAGAAUCUGUGUCCCAAGCAGGUCAAGACAAAAAAAAAAAAAAAAAAUGCUGCAAUUCAUGAACCAAGAGAAAGAGCUAAGGGCAUAGGUAGUUUUCAAAUAAGAAUAACUCAUGACAAUAUAAGCCAUUAAAGCAAGGUUCAUACUGCACAUUCUUUGUCCAAGUUUUUUCUAUCAAACAUAUUAAAACAAAAGCCAGCUGGAGGAAAACUCUAGCAAUCGGCUUCUUUGAUACGCUCACAAUCCCUUUGAUCCCUCUGGAUUCAACAGAUUCCCUAAAAGCCUGGGCAAAAGACAGACAGGUGGAAAAUAUGAAAACAGCUCAUCAUAAUUCCUAUCAGAGGUCCUCUUCUCACUGACUCGGAAUUAAGUCAAUUCAACCAGCUCAUGCCUGUUGGCCAGCAUUCACCAUUUCCUACUUCUCUGAGAUAUUCCUUCCUACACCAGGAUUGUUGCAAAGAUGAAAGAGUAGACAAAGGACGAGACAGAAACAAACCAUUAAUGUUUCUCCUUGGUUUGUGGGAUUCUGGGUGAUUUUCUCAAUUGUCUCCAACAGGAACAUAAUUCCUCUAUACUCAGAAAAUGAAGCUGUGAAUAUGCUUUAUGAACUGUGAAAGCAUAACCAAACAUUACAUUUUUAUUUUUAAUUUUAGUGACUGUUAUGGCCCACCUAGACCUCAUUUUAACACAGUUCUUUCCUCCUGGGGAUACUGGCUGGCAUGAUUUGCACAACCAAAUCUGCAUAUUCUAAAAGUCUAUUAUCUUGCAGAGGAAAUGGUUCUUUUCUGUUUGUAAUGGAAGGGGUUUGUUUCUUUUUGUUUCGAUUGAUUUGGUUAUGUAAAGAGAGGUGUCCUUAGACAAGGAAAAGCCCCAAUAGAAAUCUGACAUUUCUGACCAAAUGCAUCCUGUCCCCUCUCUUCUCUCAGUAAGGUUCUGAAAUACUCUACAAAGGUAUUAUCACUAGUGCUCCCUCAGCUUAAAAUAUACCAAGAUACCUCACAACUCUCCAUUAAGUUAAAUAAAUUCCUAUCUUGGAGUUCCCGUCGUGGCGCAGUGGUUAACGAAUCCGACUAGGACCCAUGAGGUUGCGGGUUCGGUCCCUGCCCUUGCUCAGUGGGUUGACGAGCCGGCGUUGCCGUGAGCUGUGGUGUAGGUUGCAGACAAGGCUCGGAUCCCGCGUUGCUGUGGCUCUGGCGUAGGCUGGUGGCUACAGCUCCGAUUUGACCCCUAGCCUGGGAAUCUCCAUAUGCCGCGGGAGUGGCCCAAGAAAUAGCAACAACAACCAAAAGACAAAAAUAAAUAAAUAAAUAAAUUCCUAUCUUAAUAGAUAUGAAUUUUCUGCAGAGGUAAAUAAAGAGAAAGUGCAGAAGCAUCAUUCUUUUCUAAAUUACAUAUCCUUUGGCAUAGAGAGCUAAAAUGUUAUUUUGCACUAUCAGAAAUAUUUAAAGCUAUUGCUUGAUUAUAAAUGAAUAGAAUCAUAAUUCUAAUUGGCUUUAAUCCUUUUAAUCUUGGGAAGAUUUGAUAUCACUAAAUCCUCUCAAAAGAGUAAUUCUUAAAUGUUAGCAGUAACCAAUUCCUAUUUUAAGCAUUAUACUGCCCCCUUGUGUCCUUCAUGAUGAGUAACAAGAUAGCUCACAAAACUGCAAACAGCACCUCUCAAUUCUCAGAAAUAUUUCAAUGGACUCUCAGAGACCAGAACUAGAAAGAACCUCAAAAAUCAUAGAGACCAGCACACUCAUUUCACAGAAGAGAAAACUAAGAUCCUGCAAGAUUAUAUAAAUUGGUUGAGAUCAGACACUGCCAGUUAAUUUCUGGUUACUUGCAGAGCAAAUACUAUUGACUAGAACUUAAACCUCUCAGAAUGUUAAUUCCUCUACUGAGGUGGAGAUGGAGUCUGAAAGAAAAUUGUGGGGUUCUGGAAGAGUUCAGCAGAGGUGAAUUUGAUUUUGGAUCACUGCUUUGCAACCUCCCCCAAAGCCUGUUUCCCCAUCCUUCUGUAAGAUGGAUGGGUAAUAACAAAUGCCAAGGUGUUGAAAGGAUUUAAUAGGACCAUGUUCCUCAAGCCCUCAGCAACUGUCUGCAAUACAGUAAUUCACCAAGUGGUAACACAGCUACAGAAAUACAUAGGAAACUGGUUAGAGACUUCGAGAGCUCCAGAGAAAGGUAAUUCUAGAAUAAUGAGUAAAGGCAUCAAAAUCUGGACUUUUUCGAAAUAGCAUACAACUUGGGAAAAAAUACAGCUAGUUGUUAGAACCCCUGUGUUUCUUUGGUCAUACUUAUUCUUUCUUUUUUUUUAUUACUAUUAUUAUAUUUUUUUUAUUUUUAGGGCCACACUCGCAGCAUAUGGAGGUUCCCAGGCUAGGGGUCUAAUUGGAGCUACAGCUCUUAGCCUACACCAGAGCUUACUUUACACCAGAUCCAAGCCAUGUCCACAACCUACACCACAGCUCACAGCAACACCGGAUCCUCAACCCACUGGGCAAGGCCAUGGAUCAAACCCUGACGGUUCCCAGUCAGAUUCAUUCCCACUGAGCCACGACGGGAACUCCCUAUUCUUUCUUAAUACAAGUAAAUCAGUAACAGAAAAUACCACAUAGCACACACUGUCUGAGAGAUGAAGCAGUGAAUAGAGUCCUUAGAUGAGGAUAACAGGAAAACAAAGUAGAAUUCAGUGCCAGCGUGUUAAGUCACCAUUUCCUCGUCUCCUUCAAUAAGAGGCCUUUACCACUGCAAUGCCAAGAGAGCCAGAGAGCCUCACCCUAGAAGGGUGAGGCUGGAAUUUGAGAACUGACCUUUCUAAUAAUUAGCUGUGUCAACUUGGGCUGGUCAUUUCAUCUCUGCUUCCCUUUCCUGACCUGUAAAUGAAGCCAUCUUCCAUCUAGCAAAGUUCUAUACUGAGGGUGUCUAAUGAACGUGAAAAGACACUGUAAACACUGUUUUAACAAAAUACAUAGGAUUAAACUUAUCGGAAAGCAAUUUUAAAAAUUAAAUCUGUCACUUAAUUAGGGAAGAAGAAACAAACUUAGAAAGUUUAGCUUAAGUUACAGGAUUCUGAUAAACAGCAUUCUACUCUCUGUGAAAUCUCUCUUCCCUCAGCAAUUCCACCAGCUUUUGAAGGAGAUCACUCCAAAAAUUCUGCCAUCACAUAAAUCUCUGGCUCUAAAGUAAAUUUCACUCAAGGGCAUCCUGAUAUCAGGAUUGACAGAGCUUAUCUCUGACUGUAUAUCACAAAACAAAUAUGCCGGCAGGGUAAAGGCAAUUCAUCUUAGUCUGCCAUGAAAAUGACUAAUGUUGAUUAUCCUCUGAUGUGCAACUGCAGCCACCCACCCUGAUAGAUAUGGUUAAAUGCUGAGGGCUGCUGGUUUUAUACGGGGCUUGGUAGAAAGCACAUACCAAGCUGGUGGGUGAUAAGCUCUGACUGAUGAUCCUCCCAUAUUAACUGAACACUACCUGUGGGUAUAGCCCCCCAAAUUUCAAACAUCGGAAAGGGAUGUUACUGGACUUGACAAUGUAGUAGACAAGGAAAGGCACUGACAUUAACUAAUUUGCCAGGUGGCAAGUGAUGAAGCUGUUAUGGUUGUUGAGUCAGGGCACAUUGCUUCCAACGGUGGGGAAUGAAUGAGUCGUGGGGCUUCUUGGGUAAUUUUUCAUCAACGAGUUCAUUCAAGUGCCUGGUUCAACCCAACAAUUACACCGUAUUUGCCGCCAGAGUGCUGGAAUAAAAGUGCUGUCAGAAACAGAAUAAAAGAUCCAACCACGAGAGUAGCAACGGGAGCUCACCAUGAAACAGACUGUUGUCCACCAGAAAGUGCCUGCGGUACUGCACACAGUUCCUUUUCUCCAAGUUCCAGUAACUCAUUGUCAGAAGAUUUCUGGCACAGCAUCAAAACCCAAUUGCCCUGUCAAGGGAAAGAGAACGAGACAAAAAUGAAGAGAACAGCAGCCACACGCCCCCACCAGCGGCACAAUGCCGUUAGUCCCGGGGAACCAGGGGCUGGCACAGGGGGCCUGCAAUCCUCCAGGUCCAAGAAAAUUCCCCACAAGUUGGCCUGGGGGUAGGUGGUGAUGUAACAUACCACAACAGCUUUUUCAAACAGCACCUUACACGCUCAAAGUUACCGGCCGGCUGUCCUCAGGGAAAAUCAAUCCACUAUCAGGGAACAAGUUUCAGAACUGGUUUAAGCGCUCCAGGCCUUGCCCCAACCUCGGCCAGGACUCAAACCAGUCAAUGCUGGUAACUUAGCAGGAAAUUUCAGGCGCAGGAGGCCAAGUGACCAGAAGGUUCAUCUCCAGUUCCCGACUCUGGUGUCAGUACCACUCUGGUGGACUACAUACAUGGCCAAUUCAUGGAAAUUUUAGAGAUGGUAAUGGCGUCCACAUGACCACGGGUCAAGCAAACACAGUAACAAAGCCUGCCUCCCUCUUUUGGAUUCAUCAUCAGGGUCCAUUUAGGACCACAAGGCCCUAAGUCUGCCCUCGCCAAACUCCAGAGCUGUGUGAACAAGCAGUGGGCCUGCUCCUUAUAAGGUUUGCCCCUCCACAGAGAAGCAGAGUGCUAACCAGAGCAAGGACUUGAAAAGCAGAGAACUGAGCUGAUGAAUUAAACUCCUCCAAGAGCUGAUGGGCAUAACCCCGAACAAGGCUCCCUUUGUUCACAGGAUUUGGCUAAU